CAGCAGCCGCGGUAAUACAGAGGGUGCGAGCGUUAAUCGGAUUUACUGGGCGUAAAGCGUGCGUAGGCGGCUUUUUAAGUCGGAUGUGAAAUCCCUGAGCUUAACUUAGGAAUUGCAUUCGAUACUGGGAAGCUAGAGUAUGGGAGAGGAUGGUAGAAUUCCAGGUGUAGCGGUGAAAUGCGUAGAGAUCUGGAGGAAUACCGAUGGCGAAGGCAGCCAUCUGGCCUAAUACUGACGCUGAGGUACGAAAGCAUGGGGAGCAAACAGGAUUAGAUACCCGUGUAGUCCCUGUCUCUUAUAC
rnacentral:rRNA from 1 species